ACAGGGAUUGCCCCAGUAACGGCGAGUGAAGCGGCAACAGCUCAAAUUUGAAAUCUGGCCCCCCCCCCGGGGGGGCCCGAGUUGUAAUUUGCAGAGGAUGCUUCUGGCGAGGUGCCUUCCGAGUUCCCUGGAACGGGACGCCGCAGAGGGUGAGAGCCCCGUCUGGUCGGACACCGAGCCUCUGUGAAGCUCCUUCGACGAGUCGAGUAGUUUGGGAAUGCUGCUCUAAACGGGAGGUAUAUGUCUUCUAAAGCUAAAUACCGGCCAGAGACCGAUAGCGCACAAGUAGAGUGAUCGAAAGAUGAAAAGCACUUUGAAAAGAGGGUUAAACAGUACGUGAAAUUGUUGAAAGGGAAGCGCUCACGACCAGACCUGGUCCCGGCGAAUCACCCGGCGUUCUCGCCGGUGCACUUCGACGGGCUUCCAGGCCAGCAUCAGUCCGCGCCGGGGGACAAAGGCGGCGGGAACGUGGCUCCCCAGGGAGUGUUAUAGCCCGCCGCGCAAUGCCCCGGGGGCGGACUGAGGACCGCGCGUCACCGCAAGGAUGCUGGCGUAAUGGUCGUCAGCGACCCGUCUUGAAACACGGACCAAGGAGUCGUCCUCGUAUGCGAGUGUUGGGGCGUCAAACCCCCCGCGCGUAAUGAAAGUGAACGGCAGGUGAGAGCCCUCGCGGGCGCAUCAUCGACCGAUCCUGAUGUUCUCGGAUGGAUUUGAGUAGGAGCAUACGGGGCCGGACCCGAAAGAAGGUGAACUAUGCCUGUGUAGGGUGAAGCCAGAGGAAACUCUGGUGGAGGCUCGCAGCGGUUCUGACGUGCAAAUCGAUCGUCAAACAUGGGCAUGGGGGCGAAAGACUAAUCGAAC
rnacentral:rRNA from 1 species